rnacentral:rRNA from 1 species
CCAAUAGCGUAUAUUAAAGUUGUUGCAGUUAAAAAGCUCGUAGUUGAAUUUCGGGAUCAAUUAAUUGGUCGUGCCUCUGGUACGUACUGAUUUUAUUGGUUUCUCCCUUCUGACGAACCAUGAUGUCAUUAAUUUGAUGUCGUGGAGAAUCAGGACUGUUACUUUGAAAAAAUUAGAGUGUUUAAAGCAAGCUAACGCUUGAAUACAUUAGCAUGGAAUAAUGAAAUAGGACGUUUGAUCCUAUUUUGUUGGUUUCUAGGAUCGACGUAAUGAUUAAUAGG